ensembl:snRNA U6 U6 spliceosomal RNA
GUGCUAGCUUCAGCAGCACAUAUACUAAAAUUGGAAAAAUACAGAGAAUGUUAGCAUGGCCCCUGUGUAAGGAUGAUAAGCAAAUUCAUGAAGCAUUCCAUAUUUUG